rnacentral:rRNA from 1 species
UUAUCGGAAUGAGAACAAUUCAAAUCCUUUAACGAGGAUCUAGCGGAGGGCAAGUCUGGUGCCAGCAGCCGCGGUAAUUCCAGCUCCGCAGGUGUAUAUCUAUGCUGCUGCGGUUAAAAAGCUCGUAGUUGGAUCUGCGUGCUCGGAACUGGUUGGCUCACUGAGCUCAAACUGGUCUCCGGCGCUUUAUUGGCUGGUUUUCCCUUGAUGCUCUUAACCGGGUGUCUUGGGUGGCUAGCACGUUUACUUUGAAAAAAAUUAGAGUGCUCAAUACAGGCGUAAAGCCUUGAAUAGUGGUGCAUGGAAUAAUAGAAUAGGACCUCGGCUCUAUUUUGUUGGUUUUCGGAACGCGAGGUAAUGAUUAAGAGGGACAGACGGGGGCAUUCGUAUUGCGACGUUAGAGGUGAAAUUCUUGGAUCGUCGCAAGACGGACGACUGCGAAAGCAUUUGCCAAGAAUGUUUUCAUUAAUCAAGAACGAAAGUUAGAGGUUCGAAGGCGAUCAGAUACCGCCCUAGUUCUAACCGUAAACGAUGCCAACUAGCGAUUCGCAGGCGUUAAACAACGACCUUGCGGGCAGCUUCCCGGAAACGAAAGUGUUCGGGUUCCGGGGGAAGUAUGGUUGCAAAGCUGAAACUUAAAGGAAUUGACGGAAGGGCACCACCAGGAGUGGAGCCUGCGGCUUAAUUUGACCCAACACGGGAAAACUCACCCGGCCCGGACACCGUAAGGAUUGACAGAUUGAGAGCUCUUUCUUGAUUCGGUGGGUGGUGGUGCAUGGCCGUUCUUAGUUGGUGGAGCGAUUUGUCUGGUUUAUUCCGAUAACGAACGAGACUCUGGCCUACUAAAUAGUGGGCGGAUUCUUUCUGUCCGCAACACUUCUUAGAGGGACAAGCGGUGUUCAGCCGCACGAGAUUGAGCAAUAACAGGUCUAUGAUGCCCUUAGAUGUCCGGGGCUGCACGCGCGCUACACUGAAGGAAUCAGCGUGCUUUCUGACCUUGCCCGAAAGGGCUGGGUAACCCGAUGAAAAUCCUUCGUGAUUGGGAUAGGGACUUGCAAUUAUUUCCCUUGAACGAGGAAUUCCCAGUAAGUGUGGGUCAUAAGCUCGCGUUGAUUACGUCCCUGCCCUUUGUACACACCGCCCGUCGCUGCCCGGAACUGAGCCGUUUCGAGAAGAACAGGGACCGUCGUUGAAGGGCCUUAACGGGCUUUUCUCUGAUAGAAACUGUU